rnacentral:rRNA from 1 species
AGCAGCCGCGGUAAUUCCAGCUCCAAUAGCGUAUAUUAAAGUUGUUGCAGUUAAAAAGCUCGUAAUUGAAUUUCGGGAUCAAUACGUCGGUCGUGCUUCGGUACGUACUGGCGUCAUUGGUUUCUCCCUUCUGACGAACCAUGAUGUCAUUAAUUUGGUGUCGUGGGGAAUCAGGACUGUUACUUUGAAAAAAUUGAGUGUUUAAAGCAGGCUCACGCUUGAAUACAUUAGCAUGGAAUAAUGAAAUAGGACGUUUGAUUCUAUUUUGUUGGUUUCUAGGAUCGACGUAAUGAUUAAUAGGGAUAGUUGGGGGCAUUAGUAUUCAAUUGUCAGAGGUGAAAUUCUUGGAUUUAUUGAAGGCUAACUACUGCGAAAGCAUUUGCCAAGGAUGUUU